rnacentral:rRNA from 1 species
GAUGAACGCUGGCGGCGUGCUUAACACAUGCAAGUCGAACGGGAAACCUUUUAUUGAAGCUUCGGCAGAUUUAGCUGGGUUCUAGUGGCGGACGGGUGAGUAACGCGUGGGUAACCUGCCUUAUACAGGGGGAUAACAACCAGAAAUGGUUGCUAAUACCGCAUAAGCGCACAGGACCGCAUGGUCCGGUGUGAAAAACUCCGGUGGUAGAAGAUGGACCCGCGUUGGAUUAGCUAGUUGGCAGGGUAACGGCCUACCAAGGCGACGAUCCAGAGCCGGCCUGAGAGGGGGAACGGCCACAUUGGGACUGAGACAAGGCCCAGACUCCUACGGGAGGCAGCAGUGGGGAAUAUUGCACAAGGGGGGAAACCCUGAUGCAGCGACGCCGCGAGAAGGAAGAAGUAUCUCGGUAUGUAAACUUCUAUCAGCAGGGAAGAUAGGGACGGUACCGGACUAAGAAGCCCCGGCUAACUACGU